GACGAACGCUGGCGGCGUGCUUAACACAUGCAAGUCGAACGGUAAGGCCCUUCGGGGUACACGAGUGGCGAACGGGUGAGUAACACGUGGGUGAUCUGCCCUGCACUUCGGGAUAAGCCUGGGAAACUGGGUCUAAUACCGGAUAGGACUCCGGACUGCAUGGUCUGGGGUGGAAAGCUUUUGCGGUGUGGGAUGGGCCCGCGGCCUAUCAGCUUGUUGGUGGGGUGAUGGCCUACCAAGGCGACGACGGGUAGCCGGCCUGAGAGGGUGACCGGCCACACUGGGACUGAGAUACGGCCCAGACUACUACGGGAGGCAGCAGUGGGGAAUAUUGCACAAUGGGCGCAAGCCUGAUGCAGCGACGCCGCGUGAGGGAUGACGGCCUUCGGGUUGUAAACCUCUUUCAGCACAGACGAAGCGCGAGUGACGGUAUGUGCAGAAGAAGGACCGGCCAACUACGUGCCAGCAGCCGCAGUAA
rnacentral:rRNA from 1 species